AUUGAACGCUGGCGGAAUGCUUUACACAUGCAAGUCGAGCGGCAGCGCGGGGCAACCUGGCGGCGAGCGGCGAACGGGUGAGUAAUACAUCGGAACGUGCCCAGACGUGGGGGGAUAACUACUCGAAAGAGUGGCUAAUACCGCAUACGAUCUAAGGAUGAAAGCGGGGGAUCGCAAGACCUCGCGCGUUUGGAGCGGCCGAUGGCAGAUUAGGUAGUUGGUGGGGUAAAGGCUUACCAAGCCCGCGAUCUGUAGCUGGUCUGAGAGGAUGAUCAGCCACACUGGGACUGAGACACGGCCCAGACUCCUACGGGAGGCAGCAGUGGGGAAUUUUGGACAAUGGGCGAAAGCCUGAUCCAGCCAUUCCGCGUGCAGGAUGAAGGCCCUCGGGUUGUAAACUGCUUUUGUACAGAACGAAAAAGACUCUUUCUAAUACAGAGAGUCCAUGACGGUACUGUAAGAAUAAGCACCGGCUAACUACGUGCCAGCAGCCGCGU
rnacentral:rRNA from 1 species